AUAGAAAAAUUUAUAUUAAUUAAUUAGGGAUUUGUUUAUUUUAUAUAUUAAAAAUAUUUUAUUUUUUUUUAUUUUAAUAGAUAAAAUUAGUUUGAUUAUAGCUUAUUAGUAUAGUGAUAGAAAAUUGAAAUAUUAUGAAAAUUUGAAUAUUUAGAAGAAGAUUUGAUUUAUUGUACCUUGUGUAUCAGGGUUUAUUAAAAAAUAAUUAAUUAUAUUAAUUUUCUCGAAUUUUAAAGAGUUAAAGAAUUAUAAAUUUUAUUGUAAAAUAAAUAUUUAUAAUAAUUUUUUAGAAAUGAGACGUUAGUCGUUUUUUAAUAUAUCUAGUUUUUUAAGAAAUAAAUUUAAUUUAGUUAAUUAUUAUAGUUUAAUUAAUUUUUAUAGAUAAUAUUGAAUAAUUAAUUAAUAUCUCAGGGGUUAAGCUCUGAGAUAAAGGCUUAUAAAUUUAAUUUAAAAGUAUAUUUUUUAGGAUUAAAAGUUUUUAUAUUUAGUGUGUUAUAGCUAAAUUUAUGGGAAAUUAGAUUUAUAUUGAUUUUAGGUGUUUUAUUAAAAUAAUUUAAUUAAUAGUAUUUUAAGUGGGAUAAUGAUUAAAUUAGUAUAAUUUAAUGUUAGGUUAAAGUUAUAUUUUUAGGUUAAGUUAAGGAACUCGGCAAAUAGUUUUUUCGCCUGUUUAUUAAAAACAUGUCUUUUUGAUUAUAAUUUAAAGUCUAGCCUGCCCAAUGAAUUAUUUAAUGGCCGCAGUAUUUUAACUGUGCAAAGGUAGCAUAAUAAUUAGUUUUUUGAUUGAGAACUGGUAUGAAUGGUUGGACGAGAGAAAAGCUGUCUCAAUUUAAAUUUAAUUAGAAUUUUAUUUUUAAGUUAAAAAGCUUAAAUGUCUUUAAAAGACGAGAAGACCCUAUAGAGUUUUAUAUUAUUUUAGUAUUUAAUAUAUAAGGUAUUUAAUUUAAUUUAUAUUAAUGUAAUAUUUGAUUGGGGUGAUUAAAAAAUUGAAAAAACUUAUUUUAUAUUAUAACAUUAAUCUAUGAUUAUAUGAGCCAAAUUUUUUGAUUGAAAGAUUAAAUUACCUUAGGGAUAACAGCGUAAUUUUUUUUUAAAGUUCUUAUUGAAAAAAAAGUUUGCGACCUCGAUGUUGGAUUAAAAUAAACUUUUGGCGCAGUAGCUAUAAAGGUUGGGUCUGUUCGACCUUUAAAAUUUUACAUGAUCUGAGUUUAAACCGGUGUGAGCCAGGUUGGUUUCUAUCUUUAAAUAAGUUUUAUAUUUUAGUACGAGAGGACCAAGUAUAAAUAAUAUUUAUUUUUUAUUGAAUAAUAUUA
rnacentral:rRNA from 1 species